rnacentral:rRNA from 1 species
AGCUCCAAUAGCGUAUAUUAAAGUUGUUGCGGUUAAAAGCUCGUAGUUGGAUUUCUGCCGAAAUUGGCUGGUCCGCUCUCUGAGCGUGUAUGUAGCCCAAUUUCGGCAUGCUCGCUGCUGUUGUAGCUGCGCUUCAAUGCACGGUUCAAUUGGCAGCGUACUUUACUUUGAGGAAAUUAGAGUGUUCACGGCAGUCGAGUGUUAUGAAUACAUUAGCAUGGAAUAAUGGAAUGAAGCCUGAGUUUUAUUUUAUUGGUUACUAGAACUGAGGUAACUCUUGAUAGGGAUAGUCGGGGGCAUUUGUAUUAACGCGUCAGAGGUGGAAUUCUUAGAUUGCGUUACGACAAACAAGUGCGAAAGCAUUUGCCAAGGAUGUUUUCA